CGGGGAGCUGCACCACCAAGGCCACCAGCACCUCCUCCCCAUGUCGUUGCUCGUCCGCCCGGGCCGUUGCAGUCCAGCGGUACUGUGGCUGCGCCCCGAGGUCAAUGGGGGGAUGACGGCUACGAUACCUACGGGACUGGUCAGCACCGUGGCUCUUCGUCCACGGGUGGCGGUCGUGGUUAUGCUUGGCAAAGUGAUGGGUCAGUUGAGAGGCCAUUCUUGGGUCCUUCAGGCGGCUUCGUUGAGGGGCCUUCUGAUCCGGGUCUUCGGCAGCGAGGAGGUUUCCGAGGCCAUCGUGGUGGUCGGGGCGGCCGUGGGGGCCGGUACCGUCCACGUCCUCCGCUACCACCUGUUGUUGUCGACCAUAUGGCAGUUGAUGAGACUAUCGAGGAGCCUGUACUGACCGGUCACGCCAUGGAGGUGGUGACGGCUCUUGCUGCGGUUCAGGCUCCUGAGAACGAGGUUAUGACCGAUGUGUCUGCGGAGUUGUCUGAUAUGGCUGAGGCUGAUAGGGCGUCCAAGUGGGCACGCAGGAAGGAAAAGAUGCUUUGUUAUCGUUGCGGCGACAAGGGCCACUUCAUUGCGGAGUGUGUGGCUCUGUUAUGUGAUACCCGCGGUAAACUGGCACAUGACUCUGGGGAAUGUCUGUUACUGCGAAAUCAGGCACCGUCACUCAUGAUGUAUGGAGUUUACUGUGCUGAGUUAACUUUUUUUGAAUCUCCAAAUGAGUGA
rnacentral:rRNA from 1 species